rnacentral:rRNA from 1 species
CCUACGGGUGGCAGCAGUGGGGAAUAUUGGGCAAUGGAGGCAACUCUGACCCAGCAACGCCGCGUGAGUGAUGAAGGUUUUCGGAUUGUAAAACUCUUUAAGCGGGGAAGAAGAAAGUGAUUGUACCCACAGAAUAAGCCUCGGCUAACUACGUGCCAGCAGCCGCGGUAAUACGUAGGAGGCAAGCGUUAUCCGGAAUGACUGGGCGUAAAGGGUGCGUAGGUGGUUUGGCAAGUUAGUAGCGUAAUUCCGGGGCUCAACUUCGGAACUACUACGAAAACUGCUGGGAUUGAGUGCAGGAGGGGCAAGUGGAAUUCCUAGUGUAGCGGUGGAAUGCGAAGAUAUUAGGAGGAACACCAGUGGCGAAGGCGAUAUGCUGGACUGUAACUGACGCUGAGGCACGAAAGCGUGGGGAGCAAACAGGAUUAGAUACCCCAGUAGUC